AGAUUUUUAGUUUGGUAACCCGAGACUAAGGGAGCUACUCCAAGACAGCCUAAUAAUAGGGCACACCCGUCUCUGUUGCAAAAGAGUGGGGCGAGCUUUGAGUAGAGGUGACAAACCUACCGAACUUAGUUAUAGCUGGUUGCCCAAGAAAUGAAUAGAAGUUCAGCCUCCCGGAUUCUCCCUUCACCUCAGUGUACACAAGCCCCUGAUAUAUUAAGAAGCCGUGAGAGUUAUUCAAAGGGGGUACAGCCCCUUUGAAACAAGACACAACUUUCCCAGGUGGGUAAAGAUCACAAUAACACAAGGUAAGCAACUCUCGUGGCCCGAAAGCAGCCACCCCCUGAAGAAAGCGUCUAAGCUCGGAACAAUCUUACCCCUCCCCCAAUCCUGAUUAUUUAAUCUUACCCCCCUAAACUUAUUGAGCCUUCCCAUGCCCCCAUGGGAGUGACCAUGCUAAUAUGAGUAAUAAGAAGCCCAGGCUUUCUCCCCGCACGCAUGUAAAUCGGAAUGGACCCCCCCCGAAUAUUAACGGCCCCAAACAAAGAGGGCAGUGGGGGCAAAACUUAAACAACAGGAAAAACCCCCAACAACAACCGUUACCCCAACACAGUGGUGCCCCCAGGGAAAAACUAAAAGGGUGAGAAGGAACUUGGCAAAACACAUUAAAGCUUCGCCUGGUUACCAAAAAACAUUGGCUUUUUGCAAAUAAAUGAAAUAAGAGGGCCCGCCUGCCCUGUGACUAUAAGGUUAACGGCCGCGGUAUUUUGACCGCGCGAAGGUAGCGCAAUCACUUGUCUCUUAAAUGGAGACCUGUAUGAAUGGCACAACGAGGGCUUAGCUGUCUCCUCCCCUAAGUUAAUGAAAUUGAUCUCCCCGUGCAGAAGCGGGGAUAAACACAUAAGACGAGAAGACCCUAUGAAGCUUUAGACGUAAGGUAGCCCAAAAUACAAUAACCCCCUAAUAAGGGGCUAAACCAAAAGGCCCCCUACCCCGAUGUCUUUGGUUGGGGCGACCGCGGGGAAAGAAAAAACCCCCACGUGGAACGGGAGUACAACUCCUUAAACUAAGAGCCCCUGCUCUAAGAAACAAAAUUUUUGACCUACAGAUCCGGCAGCGCCGAUCAACGGACCGAGUUACUCUAGGGAUAACAGCGCAAUCCCCUUUUAGAGACCUUAUCAACAAGGGGGUUUACGACCUCGAUGUUGGAUCAGGA
rnacentral:rRNA from 1 species